rnacentral:tRNA from 1 species
GCCUGCGUGGCUUAGUUGGGUAAGCGUCUGACUUCAGUUCAGGUCAUGAUCUCAUGGUUCAUGGGUUUGAGCCCCGCCUCGGGCU